UCUUUCCAGUGGCAAAUGGCUCCAAAUAACCCCAGUCUUUCUCUGAGCAAGGGCUGGACUCAAUGACCUCUGAAAGUCCCUCCAAGCUGCAAUAAUUCCAAGGUUCUUUAAUGUACCAGCAAUUUCCACAAAGUAUGCAGAUAUCAGCCUUAUUGCCAUUGUCACCCUCCUGUUUUUCCUAUGCUAUCUGCCAACCAACAAAGCUGGAGAGGUCGAAGUGCAAGCCAGCCAAAAGCCCAGGACAGAAUAGAAAAAGAGAGCAGCCAUCCCUCAACUCUGGAGAUCUGACUUCUGAAAAGCUUGAAGUGAACAGUCUGUGUGCUGCUGCUCCAAGCCAGUGCUCAGGCACCGGACAAUUCCUGAGAUCACAACAGAGUCCCCUCCAGGUCACCUCAUCCAGUCCCUGAAAGGGCCGUGGCUCAGCAGAGCACAGGCUGCUGCUGGAGGAUGCUCCCGGG
rnacentral:lncRNA from 12 species